GAAUCCUAACAAGGCAGGGAGGACAAGCAUCAUGUGUAGAAUAGGCGGUGGCAAGUUAAAGAGUGAAGCUUCCGCGCCUGAUCAGAGCACUGCGCAGGGCUGGGGGGUGUGAUCCAGUGCAUGGGAAUAGAAUGAACAUUUUGUCGAGGAUACACUGAAUUGAGAAAUCUCGCAUAAAUAAGUAUAGACUGAGGUGCAAGAAAGCAUUCUUUCAAGUCCAUGGAGGAAGCUAUCCUGGAGAAAUUCAC
rnacentral:misc_RNA from 1 species